AUGAACGCUGGCGGCGUGCCUAAUCCAUGCAAGUCGAGCGAACGGACGAGAAGCUUGCUUCUCUGAUGUUAGCGGCGACGGGUGAGUAACACGUGGAUAACCCACCUAUAAGACUGGGAUAACUUCGGGAAACCGGAGCUAAUACCGGGUGAUAUUUUGAACCGCAUGGUUCAAAAGUGAAAGACGGUCUUGCUGUCACUUAUAGAUGGAUCCGCGCUGCAUUAGCUAGUUGGUAAGGUAACGGCUUACCAAGGCAACGAUGCAUAGCCGACCUGAGAGGGUGAUCGGCCACACUGGAACUGAGACACGGUCCAGACUCCUACGGGAGGCAGCAGUAGGGAAUCUUCCGCAAUGGGCGAAAGCCUGACGGAGCAACGCCGCGUGAGUGAUGAAGGUCUUCGGAUCGUAAAACUCUGUUAUUAGGGAAGAACAUAUGUGUAAGUAACUGUGCACAUCUUGACGGUACCUAAUCAGAAAGCCACGGCUAACUACGUG
rnacentral:rRNA from 1 species